GGCGGAAGAAAGGGUAAAGAGAUGGCUCGAUUAACAUUAAUAUCGAUGCUAUUUCUCUGGGCAGGAUCAAUGCUUAUGGUCCAGGGCGGAGAUCCCACCCUUUUUUUUGAAUGGAACGUCACCUAUGGCACCAUUGCUCCUUUGGGAGUGCCAGUAAAGGGUAUUCUUAUUAACGGGCAAUUCCCGGGACCAAAUAUUAACUCUACCACCAACAACAAUAUUGUGAUCAAUGUAUUCAAUAACCUUGAUGAGCCAUUCCUUGUAACAUGGUAAGCGACUAUCAAGAGUAUUUUCUUUUUUACAUUAAUAUGAUUAUGCUAGUGAAGAGUUGAGCUAAUUAUAUGUGGAAAUGGGAUUUGUUGCAGGAACGGCAUUCAGCAUAGGAAGAACUCUUGGCAAGAUGGUGUUCUGGGAACCAACUGUCCUAUCCCCCGUGGGAAGAAUUACACAUAUAAAUUCCAGGUGAAGGAUCAGAUUGGCAGCUACAUCUACUAUCCCGUGACGGCUAUGCAUAAGGCGGUUGGUGGUUUCGGUGGCCUCCGUGUUAACAGCCGUCUACUCAUCCCUGUUCCCUACGCUGAUCCGGCUGAUGACUAUACUCUCUUAGUGGGAGACUUUUUCAACAAGGGACACACCAGCCUCAAGAAGAUUCUUGAUAGCGGUCGCAACCUUGGGAGAUGUGACGGUGUCCACCUUAAUGGGAAAGUUGCGAAAGGUGAUGGGAAGGAUGAACCUCUGUUUACGAUGGAGGCAGGCAAAACGUACAAGUACAGGAUUUGCAAUACGGGUAUCAAGACAUCUCUGAACGUCAGGUUCCAAGGCCACACCAUGAAAUUGGUUGAGAUGGAGGGUUCCCACACAAUGCAGAAUGACUAUGACUCCCUUGAUGUGCACGUUGGACAGUGCUUCAGUGUGCUUGUUACUGCCAACCAGGAACCAAGGGAUUACUAUGUGGUGGCCUCUACCCGUUUUACCAAACGUGAGGUUACAGCAACUGGCAUCAUCCGUUACAAGAAUGGCAAGGGAGCUGCCUCAUCCGAGUUGCCACCACCACCUGUUGGUUGGGCUUGGUCACUCAAUCAAUUCCGUACCUUCCGUUGGAACUUGACUUCUAACGCUGCUAGGCCUAAUCCUCAGGGCUCCUACAAAUAUGGUUCUAUUAACAUUACCCGCACCAUCAAGCUUGCCAACACUGCACAAAGAGUAGAUGGCAAGCUCCGAUAUGCUCUUAAUGGAGUCUCCUAUGUCGAACCAACCACUCCACUAAAACUUGCAGAAUACUAUGGCGUAGCCGACAAGGUUUUCAAGUAUGAUACCAUUCCCGAUGAGCCUCCAAGUGACAACACUAAGGUAACUUUGGCACCUAUUGUCCUCAACAUGACACAUAGAAACUUUGUGGAAAUCAUCUUCGAGAAUCACGAGACCGCCAUUCAGUCCUACCACUUGUCUGGCUACUCAUUCUUUGCUGUGGGGUAAGUAUAGCUUCUAACAUAGCCAAUACAUGUGGUGAUUUGCUUGAGUUGAAGUAAUAAGUUGUAUAAUGAUUUGUCGCAGCAUGGACGUUGGGAAAUGGAGCCCCGAGAAGAGGAUGAACUACAAUCUUCUUGACGCCGUGAGCAGACACACCAUACAGGUAUUCCCCAACUCCUGGUCAGCAAUCCUAUUGACAUUCGACAACUGCGGGAUGUGGAACCUGAGGUCGGAGAUAUGGGACAGGCAUUACCUUGGGCAACAGCUUUAUGCUAGUGUUAUUUCCCCUAACCGAUCCCUCAAGGAUGAGUACAACUUACCGGAAGGUGUAUUGACUUGCGGCAUCGUGCAAGGCAUGCCAAGGCCUCCACCUUUCAGCAGUUAAUUUAAUUAAGCUUAUAAAUCUGUAUCCAAUUAUAGAAUAUGGGGAGAGAGAGGGUGAGAAAAGCUGAGUUCUGUAUAAUAUUUAAUGAAAUAAAAGCUUUUGGAUCACUUUAUUAUUACUAAUUUUCGUGUGUUGCCCUCGAAUAUACACGCAUUUAAGUUAUUUUCAAUAUAAAAAACUGAUAUUUUCAAAAUUGUACAAUAUUUAAAGAUGAAUGAUUUAAAAAAAUGGUUUAUACUACUAAUUAUUUUGAUAUUUUCAAAGUUGAAAUAAAUAAAUAAUUAAGUUAUAUUAACAAAGAAAUUUAAAAUAAAUAAUCUAUAUAUAUUUUGUUGAUAUAUUCAUCAAUAUAAAUAAAUCAUUCUGCUAUGGCGGUUCAACUUUGUGUUUUUUUUUAUUCAUUUAUUUUUGUAAAUUUCAAAUUUGUAUAUUAGAUAUGUACUACUACUAGAUAUGUCAAAUUGUAAAUAUUUAUUUGUCAAAAAGGCUCUUUAAAAAAUGAAAAAAAAAUUAAUUAAGUCAUCGUAUGCAAUUUGUACCUAAUUAAGUCCCUAUCAUUAAUUAAAAUAAUCAAUUAAGCCACAUAAAAUAAAUUGAUCAGAUAGAGAUAGUAAUAACUUCUAUAGUAAUCUAUUAUUUUUCCUAUAAAAAUAUUUAAAAAUUAGAAAAAUAUUAUAAAAAAAUAUAAAUACUAUUAAAUAUUAAAAAAAAUAAGAAAAUUGGUAUAAACUUAAAAAAUUAUAAAAUUAAUAAAACAUAUUUAAAAUAUUUAAAAUUUUAUAAAAACAUUAAAUUUAAAACUCUAUAAAAAUAAUAAAAAUUAUAAAAAAAUAUUAGAAGUAUUAAAUUUGAUAUAAACUUAUAAAAAAUGAUAAAAAAAUAAUAAAACUUGAUUUGGGUCGGAUUAGUCGGUUGGACCGGCUAGAUCAAAAUUGGCAAGAUAUCGAUCCAGAGAAAGCCAUUAGACCGAUUGAUAUUGGAACUGGAUGGUUGAACCGAUUCUUUAUCCUUUUAAUAUAUAUAUUUUAUUUCUUAAUGUUUUAUUUAAUUGAACUGGACGGAUCAGUCGAAAUGGUAAAUCAAUGGCUUAAUUUAAUUUUUUAGAAAAAUUAUUAGAUUAAACCAUAAGCUACAAUGUCUCAUCAACUAAUUGGCUUGUCAAUUUAUUUUAACCGUCAAUGUGAUCAAUCUCGAACACCGUUAAUUAUUUUAAUUAAUGCCAAGAACUUAAUUAGUUGCGAAUUUAAUAUAAAAAUAGGCUUUUUGACAUAUAAAUCUAUUGAAAAUAAGAUUAUUAUUAUUAUUUUUAUCUCCCAAUAAUUACAUGGAAUAUUUGAAAUUCAAGCACUCCCUAGAUGACUCAGCUUGGAGACUAGCAAAACCAAUAAUCAACAUAAAACUAGUCGGAUUUAAGGCACUCUUCGCACGAAGAUGGACAAAUUGUAGAUGAUUAAGAAAUUACCUUAAAUUUAUACCAUUUAAACAUGUCAUCUUAUUUCUCGAAUCAUCCUAAGACUUACAAAGUCUCCUAUAACUUAAGCAUAAGUCACAUAAUACUUAUAAUUUAGUCCCUAUUAAUCGAUUUCAAGCAUAUACCACUUCUGUAUCUUAGCCGCAUAACAUUUAUAUUUUAGUUUCUAUUUGUAAUGGCCCAAAUUUGCUGCCCAAAUAAACCAAAAAAAAAAACAUAAAUUAAACAAAAUUAUAACAGUCCCUUAAAUACUUUAGUCCAAUUACAAAAAACCAGUAGCCCCAUAGCCCAAAUAUAAGGGCCCACUAACUGGAACAGACCCAAACAGCCUUAAAUCGAUGCUCAGCUUUGGCAAACCCUAGGACAAAAGGGGUCCUCGAGUCGCAGCAACCUCAGCAGCCUCCAGGCACCGUACACUCCUCCUGGCGCCACGCACGCUCCCGUACAUACGCCAGCACCACCCCGUACGCCCCGCACCAAUUUGCCAGCGCAUGUCCUCUGCUCCGUACCUGCGAACAAGACAAACACAGCAACAAACAGAGACAAAAGAGAAAAUAUUAUUUUUCUUUUAUUUGUUUUUCUUUCGUUUCGGAUAUAAAGCCAGAAAAUGUUCAUUGUAAUGAAAAAAGGGGCGCAUUUACGCAACAAAAAUAUACAAACAGAUACUAUAAAGAGAGAUUUUUUUUACGAACACAAGCAAUACGAAUACUUACAAAAAAAAGCAGAGGUGAUUUCUUUUCUUCCUCGAAUCCUCUUAGUUUUCCAUAUAUCAUUGCGUUUUUGGUUUAGGGGUCAUUCACCAUUAUCGUUUUGAAAAUAAAGAGAUGAACAAAGGAACGGUGAAAGAGGAGCUUACCUUGCGAAGCUAGCCGUCGUCCCCCCUUUUACUUCGUCGAAAUCGAAGUCUGAAUGAGGGUUUCAAAGGCGAAAACCCCUCUUUUAGGGCUCGGAUGCGCAGACCGUCGCUCGUACUGACGAAUUAGUGCUAAAAGGAGCAUUUGGAGGUCGAUUGAGCAACGAGAGAGGGGAAGGGGCUAGGGUUCGGCUGAAUAACUCAGUCUUCAGCCCUUUUAAAGGGUUAAAAGCGAUGCCGUUUCAAGCCCAUUACAAUGGCUCAAAAACGACGUCGUCGGAUGGAGCCUCGAUCUGAUCCGUUUAGCUGCCCCGACGACCCGCGCGUUUUCGCGAAGAGGGUUUAUUUACAGCAUCGGUCCCUCCCUGUUGCACCAUGUUUCAUUUGGCUCUUAUUUAUUUUUUUAUUUUUAUUAAUUUAGCUAUGUAAUUUAUACACGUUUGCAAAUGGACCGGCGCUUGAAUACAGCCUUUUAGGAUCUGGUAUAUUGUCAGUUUUAGUCCCUAGCUGUUUCCGCGCAUGGACUAUUGGUCCCUCCACUGUUUUUGUUUAGUUUCAAUUUUACCUUGUGUGUUUUAGUUUAAUUUUAAUUAGGUCUUUUAUUUUAUAACUUUAUAAUUUCUUUUAUUUACUUACUAGUAUAUUUUCAAGCAGCUAUGACAGUCUUUUUAGUGUUAUAAAUUUGUUUUUUUUGUAAGAUUAUUAUCAUACUUCGUAUAUCUUGAAUGUUUAUUUCUUUAGUGUUAUUAGGCAUAUAUAUGUUUUACAAAAAAUCCUAAUGCUUCAUACAUCCAAUGUUUUAUUCUAAUUAUGUAUUUUAGCAUAUACUUUGUCACGAUAAUACAUUUUGUUUAUACACACAUGUUUUCCAUAAAAUUAUCUUUCCAUUUGCCUAUAUUAGUACAUAUAUUCGGCAUAUAUAUAUUUCAUUAAAUCUACACAUUAUCGUUCUUUAGGAAUUUACAUGUGUUCUCUUUGAAAUUUGUAUAUACAUAUACGCAUUAAUACCCUUUUUUUUAUUUUAAUAGAUUUUAUUUUAAAACACCUUUCGCUUUGUAAUUUACCAAACAUUUUCUAUAUAUAUAUGAAAUAAUGUUAAGAGCUUUUAAUUAUAAAAUUAUUAUUGUUAUCCAUGUUUUUAUUUCUUUAUAUUAUAUUGCUUUUGUGUUUUAUAUAGCCUAUUAUUUAAAUAUUUUGAUAUGAGGAUAGGUAUGUUUUUUUUAAAAACCAAUUUAAAAUUAUAUAUAUGUACUAAUUUUAAUCUCAUUCUUUUAUAAGUUUAUAUGUACAUUUUUUUUAUAUAAAUCUAUUUUGGGCCUCAUGUCUUUGUCAUAUUUUUUUUUUGUAUCAUAUAUUUUUUUGUCCUAUCAUAUAUUUUGUUAACUUUUAAAUAAAUUCAUGUUUAAAACAUGUUACAUGUAAUUUGAUUCAAAUUUUUAUUCUAUAAUAUUUGUUCCAAAAAAAUCAUAUAGCUAUCUAUAGCUUUCAUGCAAAUAUGUCGACUUAUGUAUGGGCCCAUUUAUUCGUUAUUAUUUAAAAAUCAUUUUAUAGUGCAUUGGUUGCUAAUUGCUAUAUUAUUUUUCAUAUCUUGUAUCGGUUAAUCUAUAUCAUAUGUUGUUUAUUAUUGUGGCAUACUAUCGUAUGUUUUGUUUCGCUUGAAUGGUUGUUAUAUUAUCAUCUUUGUCAUUGUAUUAUUAUCCUCCAUGCGCUAUUGUAAUCAGGUUGCGUUUUUUUAGGAUUAGCUAUACCUUUUUUAUUUUUAAUCGAUUGUAUCUCAUAUGCACGUUUACCCCAUCCACCGAUUUUAUUUGAUUUUCGAAAUGUGGUUUUAUAAAAUCUAAAUUUUAUGAUUAAUUUCGUCCUAUUUCAAAUCGAAUUAAUAGGUCUUAAGCUAGCUUUAUAAUCAUUCAUUCAAAAGUUCUUCAAAACGAAGACGAGAUUCGAUGUUUGGCAAUUCGCGGAAUCGUGCCCUAACGUGUUGGGUUGCAAUUUCGCGUUUGCUCAAAAUAAUCGAAUAUCACUUCGAAAUUUCACUCGCGUCUUUUAAAAUUCUUCAAAACGAAGACGAGAUUUGAUACUUAGCAAUUCGCGGAAUCGUGCCCUAACGUGUUGGGUUGCAAUUUUGCGUUUGUCCAAAGUAAUCGAGCAUCCCUUCAAAAUUUCAUUCAUGUCUUCUAAAAAUUAUUUAAAACGAAAGCUAUAUUCGGCGUUUGACAAUUCGAGAAUCAUGCCCUAUCGUGCUGGGCUGUGAUUUCUCGUUUGUUCAAAACGAUCGAAUAUUCUUUUGUAUUAUCACUCAUGUUUUUAAAAAAUAAAAAAUAAAAAAUAUAAAUACUUAAAAACGACGAUGAUAUUCAAUGUUUGGCGAUUUGAGAACCGUGCCCUAUCGUGCUGGGUUGCGCUUUUUCAUUGGUCCGAAACAAUUGAAAAUCCCUUCGGAAUUUCCCUCACAUUUUCUAAAAUCUUUCAAAAUGAAGGCGAUGUUCGAUGUUUGGCGAUUUGAGAAUCGAGCCCUAUCGUGUUGGGUUGCGCUUUUUCAUUUGCCCAAAAUAAUCGAAUAUCUCCUCGGAAUUUUCACACAUAUUUUAUAAAGUAAGGCAAUGAUCAAUAUUUGGAAAUUCGAGGAAUCGUACCCUACUGUGCUGGGUUUCGAUUUUUUGUUGGACUAAAUAAUUGAGCUUCCUUCGGUAAUUCUCAAAUUACAUACUUUCGGACAUCGAAACAAGAAAUUUUGACAACUAACUCGGAUUACUCAAACGUUAUAAAAGGAACCACAUUUCAAAAACUUUUAAUUUAGACACAAGGACAGUAUUUAAUCGAUUUGGUACCAAUUUUGGGCGUAGUGAGGGUGCUAACCCUUCCUCAUACGUAACCGACUCCCGAGCCCAUUUUCUCACACUUUCGUAGACCAUAAUCGGUGUUUUAGUAAACCGAAAAUGUUUUAUUAAAAUAACCAAAUUCUUAGGUGACCCGAUCACACCAAAAUAAAAGGAUCGGUGGCGACUCCAUAUUUCUAUUUCCCAAAUAGUCGAUUUCCUCAUUUUUUAAAAAAUUUUUAAAAUAUUUGAAUAAAAAGGGUGGUUUCGACACUAUUAAUAGAUUUUAGAUUCAACGGUGAAUACGCAGAUUAGUAUAUUAAAUUACCUAAUAACCCAACAAAGAAUUAGAGUUAGUGAUGUGUCCUAAUACUCAUUACACCGAAAUGCCAAAAUAGUUCUCAUUCUUAACAUCAUUAAACAUAAAUUUACAUAUCUUUAACCCCUUUCGUAAUAUUUUCAUGAUCAUAAUCCACAUCACAAAUAUAUACACAUAUGAAUAUCAUCACAACCAUUGCCAUCAAAGUCAAUUAAGCUAUCAUGCCUUUUAUGACAACAUUCAUUAAUAUUAAUUCAUUAAACUUAGCUGCUUAAUGAGUUAAUAACACAAGAUUACAAACCAAAUUCAUUUUUCAUCCUUGGAUUCUUGACGUCCUGGUCUUGUUUCUUAACUUUGUUCAAAUAAUUCAAUUAUUAGUACGAGCUAGUGGCCUAUUCAAAUACAUCAAACUAUUCAAUUAAACAUAUGUAAUUUUUCAACUUAGUCUUUUUAUACCCUAAUGUCCGAUUUUCGUAUAUCUCAAAAUUUUCCCGCUCGAAUCAAUUCGACUUUAUAACUAUACUCUAAGGCCUCAAACUAUCUAUAAAACACCAUUUUUGUUCAAAGUUCUCAACAAUCUCAUUCAAGCUCCCAAGAACUCAUCAAUGACUAUAUUAUCUAUGUUUAAUCAAGUCUUGUUUCUACACAUCCCACUUCAUUUCUAGCAUGUUUUCCACCAAAGUUCAAGCUUAACACUAGAUAUUCAUGGAUUCAAGCUUUCAUUCUCUAAGUUCUCUAAUGCUUAGGCUAUGUUCAUCAACUAUCAUAUAUAAACUAAGAUUUUAACAAAUUCAAGUGAAAAGUUCACCUUCCUUAGUAAUUUGAUGGACGACAAUGGAAGAGUAACCUAAAGAAUUUCUUUCUUUCUUUUGCUUCUCUCACCAAUUCAACACAUAUAUAUAUAUACAUAAUUAAUCUAAUUCCUCAUUAAUCUAAUGGCUAGAAUUGAGCUUAAACAAUGGUCAAUAGAAAUGAAUGGCAAGGAUCAACCAAGCCACUAACUAAGAAUAAAUCUUGGUUUAACAGCACUAGAGGUGUACAUGGGCCGGGCCGGGGUGGGUUUAGGUCGGGCUCAAUUAAAAAUUUAGACUCAUUUGAUAGGUUUGGGCCCGGCCCGGCCCAGAAAAUGGGCCUAAAAAUUUGCCUAAGCCCUACUUGAAUAAAAAUGUUAAAACCCGGGCCUGACCCAGCCUGUCCAUAGUAAUUUUUAUAUUAUUUUUUAUAUAAUUUAAAAAAUAUAUAAUACAUCAAAAAUACUAAAAACAUGAAAAUAAAUAUUUCCCAACAAAUUGAAAAUAAAUUUUAAAAAAAUAUGUAUACUUAAAUAACACUAAGAUAGAUGCAACUUAAUAAGCAAAUGCCUCUAAAAUAAUAACAAAAUUAACAAAUAUCUUUAAAAUAAUAGCAAAAUUAACAAUAAGAUAAGUUUUAUACAAUAUCCAAACAAUAACAACAAAAUAGUAGCAACAUAAUAGUAAAAUGGUAGCAAAAUAGGGAGAAAACAUUAAGAAAUAAUAAUUAAAAAAAAUAUUUUUUGUCCUUUAGUGAAUUCGGGUAGGGUCAGGCCAAAAAUGCCUUACCUGAGGCCCGACCCAUUUUUUAAACAGGCCUUAUUUUUUUAUCCAAGCCCAUUUUUCGAGCCUAUAUUUUUGCUCAAACCCUCUCACAUUUCAGACUGGUCUUCGAGCUUGGCUGAGUGGCCCGACCCAUGAACAAGUCUAAACAGUACUUAGGUUCUUGGCAUAAUUACCACUGGCAAAUUUGUUUAAUUCUUAAAUCAAUUCUCUUUAUUUUAUUCACCUUACAAUUUAGUCUUUGAUCAAUAAUUACUAUUCUUUCAAUCUAGUCCUUGUACUUAAUAAUUUAUCUAAUUUAAUCACUUAAUAAUUCUAAUUUCUAAUUUCAUGUUCAUCUUGUAAAUGUCUCGAUUUAAUAUUUUUGGACUAGUUCGGCUUCGAGAAUUUAGCCUCGAAAUCAAAUUUUUUGACCCUAAUGAAAAUCAGAAUGUUAUAUGCAAAAUGCUCGACAUCCUGCAAGGUCUCCAUAAUAGAUUUCUUCAUAUUUGUGUCAUUGUUGCUCAUGUCUGAUCCACCUCUAGUAUUCACUUCAACCGUAACAAUGGUCAUAUUUGUUGCCAUGAGUGAUGUGGAAAUUUUUUUUAAAAUGUCAUUAAGUAAUUUGAAAUAGACCAUGAAUAAUGUGGUGGAAAGAGUUAAUAAAAUAAUUUCUCCACAUUUUGGGUGAUCAAUAUUUAAUUUAUUAUAAAAUUUCUCGUAGAUGAUGUCACAAAUGAAUUUGUUAUGUAUGCGUAAACUCUUGAAAAAAAAAACUAAUUAUAUUUUUUUCAAAUUAUAUUUUUUUGUCAUAAUUUAAGCUUUCAUAUAAGGUUAGUUUCACAUUAAUACAAUUUCUAUUUUUAAAAAUUACAAUAGUUUAUCUAUAUCUAUAAUAAAAGAAUAAAUAAAAAGGUUAAAAAAAAAAGCACUAAAGUAUUUUUCAUAGAAGCAACUACUUUCCUAAAGAAAAGGUUAGCCAUCCAUAUAGUGAAUAUUCAAAUCCUUGUGAUAACAGAAAAGAAUGAUUCAACAUUGUAAAACUAAAAAUGGUUAGUGCUAAAAGGAAGGAAAUAAAUGAAUGGAUGAGCUUAUUAUAAGGGAUUAAGAUGGAAGAAUGGAAGAGGGGAUUGUGUGGUAUAAAAGGAGAGGUAUGCAUGCAAUUCAAAAUCAACUCAAGCUAAUCAUCUCCCUCUUCCUCUAGAGGGGAUAAACAGUAUAAUAAAUUAUAUUGGAGGCGUGGUCGGCAAAAAAAAGGGUUAAGAGAUGGCUCGAUUAACAUUAGUAUCGAUGCUAUUUCUUUGGGCAGGAUCAAUGCUUAUGGUCCAGGGCGGAGAUCCCACCCUUUUUUUCGAAUGGAACGUCACCUAUGGCACCAUUGCUCCCUUGGGAGUGCCAGUAAAGGGUAUUCUUAUUAACGGGCAAUUCCCGGGACCAAAUAUUAACUCUACCACCAACAACAAUAUUGUGGUCAAUGUGUUCAAUAACCUUGAUGAGCCAUUCCUUGUAACAUGGUAAGCGACUACCAAGAGUAUUUUCUUUUUUACAUUAAUAUGAUUAUGCUAGUGAAGAGUUGAGCUAAUUAUUUGUGGAAAUGGGAUUUGUUGCAGGAACGGCGUGCAGCAUAGGAAGAACUCUUGGCAAGAUGGUGUUCUGGGAACCAACUGUCCUAUCCCCCCUGGGAAGAAUUACACCUAUAAAUUCCAGGUGAAGGAUCAGAUUGGCAGCUACAUCUACUAUCCGGUGACGGCUAUGCAUAAGGCGGUUGGUGGUUUCGGUGGCCUCCGUGUUAAUAGCCGUCUACUCAUCCCUGUUCCCUACGCUGAUCCGGCUGAUGACUAUACUCUCUUAGUGGGAGACUUUUUCAACAAGGGACACACCAGCCUCAAGAAGAUUCUUGAUAGUGGUCGCAACCUUGGGAGAUGUGACGGUGUUCACCUUAAUGGGAAAGUUGCAAAAGGUGAUAGGAAGGAUGAACCUCUGUUUACGAUGGAGGCAGGCAAAACGUACAAGUACAGGAUUUGCAAUACGGGUAUCAAGACAUCUCUGAACGUCAGGUUCCAAGGCCACACCAUGAAAUUGGUUGAGAUGGAGGGUUCCCACACAAUGCAGAAUGACUAUGACUCCCUUGAUGUGCAUGUUGGACAGUGCUUCAGUGUGCUUGUUACUGCCAACCAGGAACCAAGGGAUUACUAUGUGGUGGCCUCUACCCGUUUUACCAGACGUGAGGUUACAGCAACUGGCAUCAUCCGUUACAAGAAUGGUAAGGGAGCUGCCUCAUCCGAGUUGCCACCACCACCUGUUGGUUGGGCUUGGUCACUCAAUCAAUUCCGUACCUUCCGUUGGAACUUGACUUCUAACGCUGCUAGGCCUAACCCUCAGGGCUCCUACAAAUAUGGUUCCAUUAACAUUACCCGCACCAUCAAGCUUGCCAACACUGCACAAAAAGUAGAUGGCAAGCUCCGAUAUGCUCUUAAUGGAGUCUCCUAUGUCGAACCAACCACUCCACUAAAACUUGCAGAAUACUACGGCGUAGCCGACAAGGUUUUCAAGUAUGAUACCAUUCCCGAUGAGCCACAAAGUGACAACACUAAGGUAACUUUGGCACCUAUUGUGCUGAACAUGACACACAGAAACUUUGUGGAAAUAAUCUUCGAGAAUCACGAGAGCGCCAUUCAGUCUUACCACUUGUCUGGCUACUCAUUCUUUGCUGUGGGGUAAGUAUAGCUUCUAACAUAACAAAUACAUGUGGUGAUUUGCUUGAGUUGGAAGUAAUAAGUUGUAUAAUGAUUUGUUGCAGCAUGGACGUUGGGAAAUGGAGCCCCGAGAAGAGGAUGAACUACAAUCUUCUUGACGCCGUGAGCAGACACACCAUACAGGUAUUCCCCAACUCCUGGUCAGCAAUCCUAUUGACAUUCGACAACUGCGGGAUGUGGAACCUGAGGUCGGAGAUAUGGGACAGGCAUUACCUUGGGCAACAGCUUUAUGCUAGUGUUAUUUCCCCUAACCGAUCCCUCAAGGAUGAGUACAACUUGCCGGAAGGUGUAUUGACUUGCGGCAUCGUGCAAGGCAUGCCAAGGCCUCCACCUUUCAGCAGUUAAUUUAAUUAAGCUUAUAAAUCUGUAUCCAAUUAUGGUAUAUGAGGAGAGAGAGGGUGAGAAAAGCUUGAGUUCCAAAUGUAUUUAAUGAAAUAAAAUGUUUUGGACCAUAUGUUUAUACUCAAAUCAUGCGCAAGCUUUCAACAAUUUCAUUGCUGCCAUGUUUUAAUUCUAGUUACUUUGUUCAUUAUUAAAAUCAUAUAAUACCUUAAUAAGAAAAACCAUCACAAAAUAGUAUGCAUCACGAAAAUAAUUAAUGAAUAGACCAACAUUCUGUUAUCUUCUUCCCUUUUCUAUUUUCUGCUUUCUGUUUCGGUUCAUAACAGAACCAGGAGACUAAACAUCCCUCAGUCCACUCCUGCAAGGUAAGAUUCUCCCAAGAAAUUUACUACUGCCAAAGAAAGAGCAAACAAUUUUGUCAACUGUCUGCACCAACAGAUAUUUGCUUGUUGGUAUUUUGGAUGAGAGAUGAGUGAAGUUAGCAGUUUCUUGAGCUAGAAGGCUCGAUACUUGCUAAACAAACAAAACAGAAUUGAGCUUGAAGAACAAGAAUAAAUGCAAAGAAAGAGAGAACUGAAUGAAUAAUUCUGAUGAUUUUUCAUUAACCUUGAAAGAUGGCAUAAUGCCAAUACAUAUACCAGGCAUAAGCUAGUCAAAGGUAAGCAAAUUUUCACCUAAACAUUACCUACUACCACUUAGUAACUUUGAAACUUAUAAAACAUAACUUGUACACUUUGUAAAGCUGAUUUAUCAGCUCAAAUGUCAACAAAAUUACAUUCAGUACAUUAACAACUUAGUUCUAAUUUAACUAAGUUACAAAACAUCAAUUGAGGUAACAAAACAAAAUGGAAUUGAACAGCAGCAUCAACUUCAACUGCAACUGCAUGGCUCGGGCUGCUUCUCUGCAACUUGGCUGCAUGCAGGCCAACUUCAACAGCUCUGUACAAAGAAGCACUUCAUUGAGUAGAAUGACUUGCUACAAUUUGUUGCUUUUGUAAAACCAUAUGCCGAGGAAGGCGUUUAUGGGUUUUAUGUCAAUAUUCUCGAGUCUGUCAAUAAGUCUUGGAGCAAGCUCUUCCACAAAGAUUAUGUUCGAGGAAGAUAGUAUAAUUUUGGCCCUACACAAAUUAGGGAGCUAUUGCUUCACUCAUGCUUGAUAGAUGUCAAGCUAGAUGAAUUUUAUGAUACAAUGGUCAAAACCAUCACCAAUGGAGUUCAUCUUACCUUGCCCCUAAGCAACUGAGCCACAAGCUUCUACUCUAGAGCCCACUUAUGCUGGCCUGUUUGCUAUUGCAACCAGAAACUGGAUUCCUAAUAGCCAAACGAAUACAGUUACAAAGAAGAUGGUUACUCUGCUUAGGAAGAUUUGUGAUGUGAUUCAAUUUUCACUUGGGAGAGCUUAUUUUUCAGGAAAUCAUCAAACAUACUAAUUUUGUUUACCCCAUGUUAUAUCUUUCUUUCCUUUCACUUAUUUUUCAGAUACUUUAUAAUCAAAAUCCUGAAAUUGUAUUGGCUACUGAAAAAUAUGAAAGGAAGCCUAUAGAGUUGAAGUAUUCAUACAAGUGGCUUGAAGGGAAACACCAGGUUGCACUCCCUGAAGCUGUUCCUGAUGUUGUGGCUCAGCCUGUUGGAGUUGGCACAAAGGAAGACAUUUCAUCUCAGCUCUCAGCCUUUGAACAAAAGAUCCUCCAACAUCUUGAUGCUGAGAUUGCCUCCCAAGAAAAGGUCAUUUAACAACUUCAAGCCAAUGUUCGAAGAGUCAAAGCAUUGUGGAAUGAUCUCCUGGCCAAGCUGCUUCAGUUGGGUUUGGAAAAUCUCUUGAACUAAAAGGGGGAGUGGUAUAAAGGACUUGGCACUACAGGUGACACUACUGCAAUUAGUAUCAUGUUUUUUCUUUUCUUAGUAUGAUGAUUUUUCUGUGCCACAAUCACCAUAAACUUAGGGCAUGAGGGGAUGAAAUAAUUUACCACCAUAAUAUUGGGGUUCCAAUUCUCAUCAAAGAAUUUGCAACCCUCAGUUUCAGAAGCUAUUUGCCAAAUGAAAUUUGUUUUAUUUUAAUGUUUUUGGGUUAUAAUUUUGAAGACUCUUAACUUGAAUUAUGUUUAUUUUAAUUGAUAUUUUGUGAACCUUUAUCCUAUCUAUGAUAUAAAUUCCAGUACUUUGGUUAUAAAGGCUAUUCUCACUACUUAUGCAUUAAUGAUUAUUUUGUUAGUAUUAAUUGAAGUAUGAUGGAUUAAGGGUGACCUAAAAUGAAAAAUUUUCAUUUAGGUCCUUUUUUAAAUUAAUAAAAGUAAAAUUACAUGUUGACCCCCUUAAAGAUGAUGAAAAUUUGAUUUAAUCCUAUAAAAAAUAUAAAGAUAUUAAUUAUUAAAAUUAUAAAAUUACACUUUUAAUAUCGUAAAAAAUUACAAUUUAAUUUUAACCCCUAAAUCCUUGAUUAUUUAGGGAGAGCAUUUGUUAUAGUGAAAUUACUAAUACCAAACAAAUUUUCUAUUUAAUGUUGAUUUUUGUAUGAUUAAUAUUUAACCAUCAUAAUUUCAAUUCUGAUUAAAAUUUAAAUAUUUAACUAUAUUUUUUUAAUGUAAAAACUUUGAACCAUUAUAUAUAUAUUGGAUUGAAAUAGUAGAGAUUUUCGAUUAAUUCGAAAAUUUACUUGUAUGACAAAUAAAAUAAUAGAUUCAACAAUUAAAAACAUUAAUUAACUUUUAUUUGUUAAUAAUUCGUUAAUUUAUGUAAGUUUUUACAUAUUUAUCUAUUUGGAUUGUGAUUGUAUUAUUUUUUCCAUUAUAUCGUAUUAUUGAUAUUAUUUACGAAAAAACUAUAUUUUAAAAAAAUAAAAUAAAUUUCACACACACUGUAAAUAGAAAAAAAUGAAAGAAUUUAUUAUUGAAUGAAGUAAUAUAUUCUGAUAUUACAUCAAGAAAAUUAAUUUAUUGGAAAAGUCAGCAUUAGUCACUACAAAGGCCGUUUUAUGUGUAUUUGAAGCAGAACUGGUUCCAGGUUUAUAUAAGCUUUAAAUUAGGUGUAAGCUGGUGGUGGCCUUGGCAUGUUUUCCACAACACCGCAAACUAGUGCACCCUCAGGCAUGUUGUAUUCGUCCCUGAGUGAUUUGUUAGGGGAAAGAACACUAACAUAAAGCUGUUGCCCAAGGUAACGCCUGUCCCAUAUCUCUGACCUGAUGUUCCACAUUCCACAGUUGUCGAAUGACAAUAGGAUAGCUGCCCAGGACUUGGGGAAAACCUGUAUGGUGUGUCUGCUCACGGCAUCAAGAAGAUUGUAGUUCUUCCUCUUCUCAGGGCUCCAUUGCCCAGUCUCGACACUGCAACAAAUGAUUAUAGAAUUUAGUUAAACGGAAAGUAAUGACUAUAUACUAGAAGAAUUUAAAGACCAAAUACUUACGCCACAGCAAAGAAGGCAUAGCCACACAAGUGAUAAGACUGGAUGGCUGUUUCGCGAUUCUCGAAGACGAUUUCCAUAAAGUUUCUGUGUGUCAGGUUGAGGACAACAGGUUCCAUGGUUAUUUUAGUGAUCUCAGCUGGUGGGUCAUCAGGAAUGGUAUCGUACUUGAAAACCUUGUCAGCUACGCCGUAGUAUUCUGCAAGUUUUAGUGGAGUGGUUGGUUCGACAUAGGAGGCUCCAUUAAUAGCAUAUCGAAGCUUGCCAUCUACUUUUUGAGCAGUGUUGGCCAGCUUGAUGGUACGGGUAAUGUUAACGGAACCAUAUUUGUAGGAGCCCUGAGGGUUAGGCCUAGCAGCGCUGGCAGUCAAGUUCCAACGGAAGGUACGGAAUUGAUUGAGUGACCAAGCCCAACCAACUGGUGGUGGUGGCAACUUAGGUGAGGGUGCGCCCUUGCCAUUGGUGUAACGGAUGACACCAGUUGCUGUAACCUCUUGUUUGGUAAAACGGGUAGAGGCCACAACAAAGUAAUCCUUUGGUUCUUGGUCGGCUGUAACAAGCACACUGAAGCACUGUCCAACAUGAACAUCAAGGGAUUCAUAGUCAUUUUGCACUGUGUGGGAACCCUCCAUCUCAACCAAUUUCAUGUUGUGGCCUUGGAACCUGACGUUCAGAGAUGUCUUGAGACCCGCAUUGCAAAUCCUAUACUUGUAGGUUUUGCCUGCUUCCAUGGUGAAGAGAGGUUCAUCGCUACCAUCACCUUUAGCAACUUUUCCAUUAAUGUGGACACCAUCACAUCUACCAAGGUUACGGCCGCUCUCAAGAAUUUUCUUGAGGGUGGUGUGUCCCUUGUUGAAAAAAUCUCCUGCUAUGAUAGUAUAGUCAUCAGCUGGAUCAGCAUAGGGGACAGGAAUGAGUAAACGACUGUUAAUACGAAGGCCACCGAAACCGCCAACCGCCUUAUGCAUACCCGUCACUGGAUAAUACAUGUAGCUGCCAAUUUGGUCCUUCACCUGGAAUUUAUAGGUGUAAUUCGUCCCGGGGGGGAUAGGACAGUUGGUUCCAAGCACACCAUCUUGCCAAGGAUUCUUCCUAUGCUGUACGCCACUCCUGCAACAGAUUUCAUUUCCAUAUAUAUAUAUAUAUGUAAUUAAGCUCAACUCUUUACUAAUAUAAUCAAAUGGGAAAAAAAGUAAUCUGGUUUACCAUGUCAAAAGGAAUGGCUCAUCAAGGUUGUUGAACACAUUGACUAUAACAUUGUUGUUGGUGGUAGAGUUAAUAUUUGGCCCAGGGAAUUGCCCGUUAAUAAGAAUACCUUUAACGGGAACACCUAAAGGAGAUAUAGUGCCAUAAGUGACCUUCCACUCGAAACUAAUGGUGGGAUCUCCACCUUGAACCAUAAGCAGUGAUCCUACCCAGAGGAAAAACACCGCUAUUAUCGUCAAUGGAGCCAUUUUAUUGGCUUCAAAUUCUCUUAUAUAAUUUUAUAAAUUAAGACUGUUUAUCCCCUCUUAGAGGAAGAAGAUUUGUUUGAGAUGAUUUGAGUUGCAUGUUGGCUUACCCUUUUAUACAACACAACUCCUUCUAAUACAAUCAUUCUUCAUCAUUCAAUUUUUCUCUUGAAAUCCUUAAAUUGAGCACAUCCAUUUGUUUCUUUACUUUAUUUUAGUACAUACUAUUUUUAACAUUAAGCGAUUUGAUUUUACCAUAAUUCUCUUUUGUUCUAAUAUAAUAUUUGCACAUUCAUUGUGUGGAUGGCUAAUAUUUCAUGACUAAUACAUCUUUAUCAAAUAAGUUUCAAAAUACUUAAUCCUUACCAUAACCAUUUAUUUAAUUACAUGGACGAUAUAAACGUGAACAAAACACAAAUAAAAAUUUAACAUGAAACCAAACCAGCAUUAGAAAAAAAUCAUAUAUAAGCAGUAUUCUAAAUUUAUAAAUAUAUAUUAUUUUUAUAUAUUCACAUGAUAGCUCAAUUUUUUUUCUAUAUUUUUAAAAUUAAAAUUUUAGUUUUAUAUAGAUUUUUAUAUACAUUAAUUUAUAAAUGUACAUAUCACUAUUAUUUUUAUAUAUUCACAUCAUGCUCAAAUUCUUUUUCCUAUAUUUUUAAAUGUGAAAUUUUGGUUUUCUAUUCUUUUAUAUGUUGGGCACACGAGAAACUUGGGUUUGUGCUCAGUGUUUUGGGUUGAAGCUUGGAUAAAAGGGCUUAAAAUAUUGCAUAGAAUAAGGGGUUUCACAGAGUGGGAGUUGAAAACAACAAUGCUGAGCUUUUUUCUUUACUUGAUGACCAAAAUGGAGAGCCAAGUUGUGAAGCCCAUGUAAGACACAUCCAAAUUCUUUGCAAUCACAAAUUGAAACUUACAUAAAUAUAGAGGCAGAUUGUUAGGGAAAAAUGAGCUUUCUUUUUCUCUGCCAAAGUAAAUUUUAUUUCGUAUAAAUACCAAUGAUCAGGCCUUUCAGAGGCACAUUGGUUGAGAUAUCCUUUUAUAUGCUAUAAGUCUCGAUUGCUCAUUUUCCUUUUCUGUCUCAUACCUCCUCUCUCUAUCGUUGUGCCCAUCAACACACUUUGUUUCCCUACUACGAUUGCACAGCUCAUUACUACCUUCUGAACGUUCCACAACCAUAUUUGACACAGUUACCCCUAUUUUCAUUUUAUUGGACUAAUGAGCAAAAUUUAACACCCUUUAUGUUACUUGAAAUUUCAUCGUCACUUUUAUCCGAAUGCCUACUAGCCCUCCUGCACCAAUGAUCAUCACAACCUAACAGAGGUCAAACUUCACUAGAGGUAAAGCCACCAUCAUAGCCAAGGACAUUGGACUCACAUUAUCUAGAUUUGCAAUUAAUUCGUUGACGUCCUCUUCACUUGAUGAACGAAUCACUUCAACUUCUAACACUUUCAGAUCAAUAUUUCAAGCCAACCACUUUUAUUUGGAUUUGCAGAACAACACUUACCUUACUCUGUAGUCUCUGAUACUUUCACCACUUCCUCAUUCUCACCUUGGACAAUCUUCAUGUCUCUGAUCCAUCUAUUUAACUAAGUUCUUUGUGCUGGUUUCUUUGAGGACACUCUUCUAAGAGUAAUUGAUGUGCUAAGUGAAGAUAUUAGGAAUUUUUAGCUCCUACACUCUAAUAUUUUUUGCAUUAUGUCUAGUUGAGCCUUCCUUUGUAUGAAAAAAAAAACCUAGUUUAAUCUAAUAGUUGAAUCUCAAACUUAAAGAGUUGUUAUUCACUUUUCAAGCAACCACUAACAUAUUAUGGAAAUUAGAGUGACAGAAACAAGGUAGCUGAUUCAUUGUCCAAACUACAAGUUUCAGAAGAUUUUGGAAUAAAGUGCUCACUCGACCCCUCAGAGAAAUCGAUACGUUAUUGUUAUUAGACAAAUUGGGGUCAUACCAUCCCAAUGGUAUUUUGAUGUAGAACAGUAAUGCCUAUUUGAAUUUCCCUUGUAUUUGAACUCUAUAAUUUUCUUUUAUAUAAUUUAGUCAUUGAUUUAUUUGGAUAGGUAUUAAAGUAAAUUUCGAUGAUUGGAAUUAUAAUUAGUAAAAGUUCUUUGUGGGAUCGAUAUUUUAUACCAUUUGUAAUGAUACAUAUACUUGUGUGUGUGAUAUUCGAUCAAGUUCAAAGCACCUUUUGUUUAGAGUAAUGGUGUUUCACGAAUAACUAUAUUUAGAACAAUUUCUAUUUAGUAGAAUUGUGUUUAUUCACAAUAAGUUCUACCAAACAGAACAUUACCAUAGAACAACUUUUGUUUGGAACAAAUAAGAAUAACCAUUAUUUAUGAACAACUCUCGUUCGAGAACAUCCAUUGUCUUGCAUUCGAAGAGAUGUUCCGAGGUAAAUGUUUCACAAGAUGCGGCUUCACCAAAGUAGAAGAAGUGGAAAUAACCUCGAAAUAUGACAGAGUUCUUAGAUUGUCUUCACUCUUAGGAUUUUUCGGAGAACUUGGCUUGGUAAAUUAAAUACGGAGGUAGGUAGGAGGUUUCCUCUUAACAUUCUCCUAUAACAUUGAGUGUUUUUCCUUUCUUUCAAAAAUAUGGUGAACACUUCUUCAAUAUUCAUCAUUAUCAUCACCAAAAAAGUCAUUAACCAUCCCGUCUUAACAAUUAUUGCCAUUCUAAUUGAAAACUAAUUUCAUUACUCAUAUUAAAUACCUAGUAUAAAUAUGAGCCCAUCACAUCUAUUUGAGUGACUUUUUGGCACUUUGGUAUUCUAAUUCUCAAAGCUCUCUAAAAUUCUUUCUACUUUUUUUUGUUGUUUAGCCUCAUCAUCAACCACAAUUCCCUUUCUCUUGCUUAUCAAACAUCACCUGUCGCUGUAACUAAUGUUAUAAGAUCUGCUCUAGUAUUCAUCUCUGCCUUUUUUCGAUACAUUAUGUUCACUUAUUUGCAAAGCUUGCUCUGAACCCUUUACAAUGUUUUAAUUUUAUAUAUAUUUAAUAUAAAUUCUCUCAUAGGAUGUCACAAAUGGAUAUAAUGUUAUAAUCUCUCCAAAAGAAUAAAGUUAAUUAUAAAUUUCUUUUCACAUUAUUUAUUCAAUAUGAACUUUUUAUGGUGGUCUUAAUUUAAUUAUAUAUAAAAUUUCACUUAAUAUCAAGUGUCUAGCAAUAAUGAUUAUAUAAUAAUGGAGGUUAAUGUUACUUUAAUACAUUUAUUUUAAAAAUUAUCAUAUUUAUAUAUUUAAAUUAAGAAAAUAACUAUAAAAACUCUCAUCAAAGUAACCAUUACCCUAAAAAAAUGUUAGCCAUCAGCAUAGUGGAUGUGAAAAUCCUUGAUGGAAAAGAAGAGAAUGAUAAAAUCAAAUUGAUUAGUGUUAAAAACAGUAUUUGCUAAAAGCCAGGAAAUAAAUGAAUGGAUGAGCGUAUUCUAAGGGAUUAAGAUGGAAGCAUUGAUGAGGGGAUUGUGUGGUAUAAAAGGAGAGGUAUGCAUGCAAUUCAAAAUCAACUCAAGCAAAUCAUCUUCCUCUUCCUCUAGAAGGGGAUAAUUAAUAAAUUACGGUUGGCGAAAAAAAGGGUAGGAGAUGGCUCGAUUGCUGUUAAUAUCGAUGCUAUUUCUCUGGGCAGGAUCAAUCCUUAUGGUUCAGGGUGGAGAUCCUACCCUUUUUUUCGAAUGGAACGUCACCUAUGGCACCAUUGCUCCUUUGGGAGUGCCAGUAAAGGGUAUUCUUAUUAACGGACAAUUCCCAGGACCAAAUAUUAACUCUACCACCAACAACAAUAUUGUGAUCCAUGUGUUCAAUAAC
rnacentral:lncRNA from 1 species